CUAUCUCGAACAUAAAGCCCAUCUUGGUGCCGGAGAUGACCUUUUCGUAGAAGCAUUCCUCGGCAUGGGCGUCUAUGCUAACGAAGUAGCCGGAAGCGGCGGCAGAGAGGACGGCCAGCAACAAAACCGGCUCAAAGACGGAAAGCCCCAUCAUGAGACCUUCAGAGCGUGUUCCCUGAAGAAGCGCAGGGCGUGAGCAAACACCUCGAUGGCCCUGACCCUGCGACCGUUGACCGCCUCCAGCUCCGUUUCCAUGGUGAGGUCCUGGAAGCGACAAGUUCCCACUAUGAACCCUUUUUAUUUAAAAUGUGAUUAAAAUGUGACUGAACUAUAACCUCUGAGAAA